rnacentral:rRNA from 1 species
UAUAGCCAGAGCCAUAUCACCCUGCAGUUCUUGCCUGGUUUCCCAAUAAAGCAAAUCAGGGUUGAGCCUGGCCAGUAGCCUGAUGGGAGACCUCCUGGGGAAAACUAAGUUUGCUAGAA